ACUCCUACGGGAGGCAGCAGUAGGAAUAUUGGGCAAUGGGCGGAAGCCUGACCCAGCCAUGCCGCGUGAAGGAAGACGGCCUUCUGGGUUGUAAACUUCUUUUAUACAGGAAGAAAAGGCCAUGCGUGGCCAAUUGACGGUACUGUAUGAAUAAGCACCGGCUAACUCCGUGCCAGCAGCCGCGGUAAUACGGAGGGUGCAAGCGUUGUCCGGAUUUAUUGGGUUUAAAGGGUCCGUAGGCGGAUUAAUAAGUCAGUGGUGAAAUCCCAUCGCUUAACGAUGGAACUGCCAUUGAUACUGUUAGUCUUGAAUGAGGGUGCAGUGGUUGGAAUGUGUAGUGUAGCGGUGAAAUGCAUAGAUAUUACACAGAACACCGAUUGCGAAGGCAGAUCACUAACCCUAAAUUGACGCUGAGGGACGAAAGCGUGGGGAGCGAACAGGAUUAGAUACCCUGGUAGGCUCUGCU
rnacentral:rRNA from 1 species